rnacentral:tRNA from 1 species
UAGCUCAGCUGGUAGAGCGCUCCACUGGAAAUGGAUAGGACCCUGGUUCGAUACCAGG